rnacentral:rRNA from 1 species
AAAUUGAAGAGUUUGAUCAUGGCUCAGAUUGAACGCUGGCGGCAGGCCUAACACAUGCAAGUCGAGCGGUAGCACAGAGAGCUUGCUCUCGGGUGACGAGCGGCGGACGGGUGAGUAAUGUCUGGGAAACUGCCUGAUGGAGGGGGAUAACUACUGGAAACGGUAGCUAAUACCGCAUAACGUCGCAAGACCAAAGUGGGGGACCUUCGGGCCUCAUGCCAUCAGAUGUGCCCAGAUGGGAUUAGCUAGUAGGUGGGGUAACGGCUCACCUAGGCGACGAUCCUAGCUGGUCUGAGAGGAUGACCAGCCACACUGGAACUGAGACACGGUCCAGACUCCUACGGGAGGCAGCAGUGGGGAAUAUUGCACAAUGGGCGCAAGCCUGAUGCAGCCAUGCCGCGUGUGUGAAGAAGGCCUUCGGGUUGUAAAGCACUUUCAGCGGGGAGGAAGGCGGUGAGGUUAAUAACCUCAUCGAUUGACGUUACCCGCAGAAGAAGCACCGGCUAACUCCGUGCCAGCAGCCGCGGUAAUACGGAGGGUGCAAGCGUUAAUCGGAAUUACUGGGCGUAAAGCGCACGCAGGCGGUCUGUCAAGUCGGAUGUGAAAUCCCCGGGCUUAACCUGGGAACUGCAUUCGAAACUGGCAGGCUAGAGUCUUGUAGAGGGGGGUAGAAUUCCAGGUGUAGCGGUGAAAUGCGUAGAGAUCUGGAGGAAUACCGGUGGCGAAGGCGGCCCCCUGGACAAAGACUGACGCUCAGGUGCGAAAGCGUGGGGAGCAAACAGGAUUAGAUACCCUGGUAGUCCACGCCGUAAACGAUGUCGAUUUGGAGGUUGUGCCCUUGAGGCGUGGCUUCCGGAGCUAACGCGUUAAAUCGACCGCCUGGGGAGUACGGCCGCAAGGUUAAAACUCAAAUGAAUUGACGGGGGCCCGCACAAGCGGUGGAGCAUGUGGUUUAAUUCGAUGCAACGCGAAGAACCUUACCUGGUCUUGACAUCCACAGAACUUUCCAGAGAUGGAUUGGUGCCUUCGGGAACUGUGAGACAGGUGCUGCAUGGCUGUCGUCAGCUCGUGUUGUGAAAUGUUGGGUUAAGUCCCGCAACGAGCGCAACCCUUAUCCUUUGUUGCCAGCGGUCCGGCCGGGAACUCAAAGGAGACUGCCAGUGAUAAACUGGAGGAAGGUGGGGAUGACGUCAAGUCAUCAUGGCCCUUACGACCGGGCUACACGUGCUACAAUGGCAUAUACAAAGAGAAGCGACCUCGCGAGAGCAAGCGGACCUCAUAAAGUAUGUCGUAGUCCGGAUUGGAGUCUGCAACUCGACUCCAUGAAGUCGGAAUCGCUAGUAAUCGUAGAUCAGAAUGCUACGGUGAAUACGUUCCCGGGCCUUGUACACACCGCCCGUCACACCAUGGGAGUGGGUUGCAAAAGAAGUAGGUAGCUUAACCUUCGGGAGGGCGCUUACCACUUUGUGAUUCAUGACUGGGGUGAAGUCGUAACAAGGUAACCGUAGGGGAACCUGCGGUUGGAUCACCUCCUUACCUUAAAGAA